UGUUGCACCAUUCGACAUUGACAUGGGCCUUGUAUUUCUUCAAGAUCUGGAGGUUGUGGGGGACAACAAAUUGAUUAUCAAGCUUGAUGUUUCCCUUGGAAACAAACUGCCCAGUCUGUCUGCGCUUGUACAAGAUGUAGCCUGAUUCAUUAACUUGGGUGUGUGGAACAUAACUGCGGGGGAAUUUCUUUGUGCAAACACCGUUGUCCAUGCAAGGAGAUGAUAAUCUGUCUUUCCCACAAGGACCAUGCAUCAUGUGUUGCUCCACCAAACCAAAAGCUUCAGGGUCCUUUUCCUUGUCAGGGAGCUCUGCUGAGAUGAUGUUGUCAAUAUCAGCUGCAGUGGGAUUUCUGAAGUCCCCUUCGAGCCAUAGAAGUAUGUGGGCGUGUGGAAUGGUACCUGCUUUGGGUCUGGGAAAAAAUAUGCCUUUGUUGAAAUCUGACAUCAACUCAUCGAGCUUCAUCUUGAACACUCUAGACUCGAGGUCGGGCCGGUCGUUGGGAUCAUCGGUUCCAUACAGUUUGAGGUGGUCAGAUAGCUCUUCCCACUUAGGAUUUGUUGUAAUAGUGAUAAAUAAGUCUGGAUUCCCGUGCCAUCGACAUAUUGCCAUCGCAUCAUGAUACUUUUCUGCCAUAUAACGGGGGCUGCCCGUAUAGCUGGAGGUUCUGCUCUGAUUUUCUUCUGGUUUAAGCGGAACCAACGCAACCUUUCCUGCUCUAUGCAUGUAAAAGCGUCAACAAUAUACUGGUGGAACAACCUUUUGGACCUCACAAUAACCAUGCCUUCAGCUAAGCGGGUUUGUAUUUGCCUAUCUGUCCAUACGGGAAGAGGAUUGGGUAUUGCAAAGUCAUAAAGAGUGGGUGCAUAUCACU